rnacentral:rRNA from 1 species
UACGUAGGGACCAAGCGUUGUUCGGAUUUACUGGGCGUAAAGGGCGCGUAGGCGGCGUGACAAGUCAGUUGUGAAAUCUCCGAGCUUAACUCGGAACGGUCAACUGAUACUGUUGUGCUAGAGUGCAGAAGGGGCAAUCGGAAUUCUUGGAUGUAGCGGUGAAAUGCGUAGAUAUCUGGAGGAACACCGGUGGCGAAGGCGGCAUCCUGGACCGGCAUUGACGCGUGAGGCGCGAAAGCUAGGGGGAGCAAACGGG